rnacentral:pre_miRNA from 2 species
AGUCUCAUUACUGGGCAAUUACUCUUUUGGCAGACAUGCCAUGCAUGCUCUUGAUGACUUGUGUCAAGAAGCACGCUAGCUAACUGCCAAAGGAGAUUUGCCCCGCAAUACUCUC